rnacentral:rRNA from 1 species
GACGAACGCUGGCGGCGUGCUUAACACAUGCAAGUCGAACGGAAAGGCCCUGCUUUUGUGGGGUGCUCGAGUGGCGAACGGGUGAGUAACACGUGAGUAACCUGCCCUUGACUUUGGGAUAACUUCAGGAAACUGGGGCUAAUACCGGAUAGGAGCUCCUGCUGCAUGGUGGGGGUUGGAAAGUUUCGGCGGUUGGGGAUGGACUCGCGGCUUAUCAGCUUGUUGGUGGGGUAGUGGCUUACCAAGGCUUUGACGGGUAGCCGGCCUGAGAGGGUGACCGGCCACAUUGGGACUGAGAGACGGCCCAGACGCCUACGGGAGGCAGCAGUGGGGAAUAUUGCACAAUGGGCGGAAGCCUGAUGCAGAAACGCCGCGUGCGGAAUGACGGCCUUCGGGUUGUAAACCGCUUUCGCCUGUGACGAAGCGUGAGUGACGGUAAUGGGUAAAGAAGCACCGGCUAACUACGU